CCUACGGGUGGCAGCAGUGAGGAAUAUUGGUCAAUGGACGAGAGUCUGAACCAGCCAAGUAGCGUGAAGGAUGACUGCCCUAUGGGUUGUAAACUUCUUUUAUAUGGGAAUAAAAUGUUCCACGUGUGGGAUUUUGUAUGUACCAUAUGAAUAAGGAUCGGCUAACUCCGUGCCAGCAGCCGCGGUAAUACGGAGGAUCCGAGCGUUAUCCGGAUUUAUUGGGUUUAAAGGGAGCGUAGGUGGAUUGUUAAGUCAGUUGUGAAAGUUUGCGGCUCAACCGUAAAAUUGCAGUUGAAACUGGCAGUCUUGAGUACAGUAGAGGUGGGCGGAAGUCGUGGUGUAGCGGUGAAAUGCUUAGAUAUCACGAAGAACUCCGAUUGCGAAGGCAGUUCACUGGACUGCAACUGACACUGAGGCUCGAAAGUGUGGGUAUCAAACAGGAGUAGAUACCCGGGUAGUC
rnacentral:rRNA from 1 species